UACGAAGGGUGCAAGCGUUACUCGGAAUUACUGGGCGUAAAGGGUGCGUAGGUGGUUUGUUAAGUCUGCUGUGAAAUCCCCGGGCUCAACCUGGGAAUGGCAGUGGAUACUGGCAAGCUAGAGUGCGGUAGAGGGUAGUGGAAUUCCCGGUGUAGAGGUGAAAUUCGUAGAUAUCGGGAGGAACACCGGUGGCGAAGGCGGCGAUCUGGGUCGAUACUGACGCUGAGGUGCGAAAGCGUGGGGAGCAAACAGG
rnacentral:rRNA from 1 species